AGGAGACGUCUUGUUCUAGUUUCAGGGUCGUGGAGCUGCAGACUGAGGCAGGAGCAUUGUUGUUAUAGUUCGAGGGUCAGAAAGCUGGCGACCCAGGGAGGAGAGGUCUUCUUCUGGUGUGAGGGUCGUGGAGCUGCAGACGCAGGGAGGAGCAAUUUUGUUGUAGUUCAAGGGUCCGGAAGCUGGCGACCCAGGGAGGAGAGGUCUUGAUCCGGUCUGAGGGUCGUGGAGCUACAGACCCAGGGUGGAGCAAUGUUGUUGUAGUUCGAGGGUCAGGAAGCUGGCGGCCCAGGGAGGAGAGGUCUUGUUCUAGUUUGAGGGUCGUGGAGCUGCAGACCCAGGGAGGAGCCA
rnacentral:lncRNA from 1 species